rnacentral:rRNA from 1 species
GUUCUUUUCCUGAGGAGGAAUAAGAGGUAGAGGAAUGCUACUUCGAUGACGUCAAUCAGGAAUAAGCAACGGCUAAUUACGUGCCAGCAGCCGCGGUAACACGUAAGUUGCAAGCGUUGUUCGGAUUUAUUGGGCGUAAAGGGCACGUAGGCGGCCUGUCAAGCUUGGUGUGAAAUACUUCGGCUCAACCGAAGAGACGCGCUGAGAACUGGCAAGCUAGAGUUUAAGAGGGGGAGUUAGAAUUCCAGGUGUAGGGGUGAAAUCUGUAGAUAUCUGGAAGAAUACCGGUGGCGAAGGCGAACUCCUGGCAAUAAACUGACGCUGAGGUGCGAAAGCGUGGGGAGCGAACAGGAUUAGAUACCCUGGUAGUCCACGCUGUAAACGAUGUGCACUAGGUGUUGGAUGGUUACAUUCAGUGCCGUAGCAAACGUGUUAAGUGCACCGCCUGGGGAGUAUGCUCGCAAGGGUGAAACUCAAAGGAAUUGACGGGGGCCCGCACAAGCGGUGGAGCAUGUGGUUUAAUUCGAUGAUACGCGAGAAACCUUACCAGGGCUUGACAUAUACCGGACGACGUUAGAGAUAGCGUUUCUGCUUGCAGUCGGUAUACAGGUGCUGCAUGGCUGUCGUCAGCUCGUGCUGUGAAGUGUUGG